UACUUGUGCUCUGGGAGAGAUGGCAAAGCCAGGGUGGGGAAGGACACUGCUCCCCACCUGGAAUGGUAUCUGGCUUUUUUUUUUUCCCUUCAGACAUCCUUUAUUAGACCAGCCGUUACCACCUUUCCCCACAAACCUCAUCUCCCCUGCUUCCUUAGACUGCCGUGGCUGCAGCAUCCCUGCCGGAGCACCCUGCCGUACCUGAGGGCAGGAGUGAGCACCCGUGGGAGAGGCUGCCAUGGGGAGAGCCAGCCCAGGUGCACCACGCGCCAGAGCCAUCUUCCCACUGAAACCGGCCAGGCGGCUGUGACUGAAAUUUAAUUUGCCUGGUGCAUUCAGUGGACAUUUUAAUCAGCAUUUCCUACAAUCUACUUGGCAAAGAGGCUCAACUGGCAGCUGCCUGACUGAAUGGGCUUUGCACCCAGUCUAACCUUCUCCAUUCGCAAUUUCCAGUGCUGGAAAACCUCUCUGUCUCGCUCUCAGAAGUUUCUAUAGCAAUCAUGGCCGUCCUAGCGAAGCACUGAAAAUGGCAGCCCAUUCAGAUUGUAAUUUUGCUGGACAGUAAUUGCUCCUCUCUCCAUUGGCCUCUGAAACAUUACUUUUUGGGAGAUACCAACCACAACUGGAGACUGGUCCUCUGUCUGUGUUUUCAACAAACUUCGCUCCCCCCUCAACUAACUUUUUAGCUGUUUGUGGCGUGUUUGAACCUUGACCAACAGGGAAGCGUUGCUGGGGACAUCACACCUCGGCUACAGGGAAGACCUGAUGUGAAUGAUGCUCUUAACAAGCCUGCAGGAAAAAACCUCACCACACAACACGACAUGUUGUGACUCAAACAUCAUCCAUCACUAUCCAAAAAGCGACAACUGCAAGAACGGCAUCUUCAAUCCCUGCAAAGACCUGUGGAAGGCGGCUGUCUCGUUAUACCCAAAAUACUGCAAUUGUUCCCUUGAUCUGUGCAAAGGUAAAUACUGAAAACCAGUAGCUUUGAAAGACAAAACUGCAUUAUUUAUAAAAAAAAAAAAAGAAAAAGAAAGAGCUACUGCACAAGAAUAUGAAAUGAAAAUACAGCUUUAAAGAUAAAAUGGAUAUGGUCUAUAUGGAUAUCAUCUCUAUCCAUGGUCUAUAUGGAUAGAGUAACUAUGCUCACAGAAGCUGUAAUCUAAAUUUUCAGGCAUGGGGAACAUUCCUUUGUCAAUCAAGUAUUUGAAAUAAGUUCGCUGAGAGAUUCUCAGCCAGGAUGUGGCCUUCAUAUACCAACAUAAAAUGUUUCAGAUGGUCCAUAAUCACAAGGAUUUUACAUCCUGUGACAGCAAAAAUACCGUACCACAUCAAUAAGGUUAUUUGAAAAGACCUUUAAAAAUAACUCAGCAACAACGUUUGCUGAAUGACUAAAAGGGAAAUAAAAACAUGUUGCAGAUCUGAGAUGAAAUAAAU
rnacentral:lncRNA from 1 species